rnacentral:lncRNA from 1 species
CCUGCGGCAACGGCUAUGACAAAAACGUUGCCGCCUUGUACAGCCAUAUCGCCCGUUACACGAAUAGACGCUGCUACUUUUGCAUCGACUGGAGGCGACGAAACCUGUGUAUGCCGUGAACCGGACAGAGCGAGAAUUUCUCGAACAGGAGAGGUUGGUGUCAUUGUGCAGCUACUCGACGCGGCGAUUACGUCAACGAACUGGGCGAAGAUCUCCUGUUUCUCCAACGAGGCCUUGUACUUCCUCCUCUCAGUCCAGAACAAUUCAACCGAAGAGCCACAGUCAUGCACGCACGAUAUCCCCCUUGGCGAGCCCCACUGUUCUCUCCCCUCAGAGCCUGAAACCUUCAAAUCAGACUGCGACGGCGGCACCGAAACGCGAAAAGGGCCAGAGGCUGACAGGAUCGAAGAGCGCACCAAAUUUAAGAAGUUGUAUCCGGAACGAGGACAAUGACCUGGAGGGCACUUGCCACGAUGCUCCACAUAGAUUUCGCUGGAAAGAUUAUACAGUCUACCCGACCAGCACUGCCAUGGGUGCGAAGCCUCACCAGUUCAAAGAAAGCGACUUGACUGCCCAUCGGCUGCCUCCCAAGAAUAAGCAGUGGUAGCUGCUUGUGCCUGCGCAGUAUAAGAUUGAUGCCGAGUUACCAACGACGCAUAGAAAUUGCCAAAUUUUAGUGCCAAACGGAUUGCUCUACAGGCUUUCUGUUCGAUACUUUCGAACAGACUUGGUACCGGUUGUGGGCUACUGAUAAAGAUUUGUGGGAGGUGUCCCCGACUGUACAACAGGCUUACGUUUUGGAUGCGUCCACCGAGGUAUACUGGCAUGGCCACGUGUAAGGUGAACCGCGGGGGGGCAUGAAUGAAUCGACGUCAAACUGACGAGGCAGCGAAACACGUGCCGUAUCGGUAUUACGAUUUUUUUCCGUCCGUACGCCUGUUCUGUGACGAAGCAAUUUUCCUUUCUGGGUCGUUUGUAGGGGGCUACCCUCUGGUUUCGUGCGAGUCUACGCUUACACAACUUCCUGAGUUGUAUUCCUGGUGAGAACCAUCGCUUCGACAGUCCGCGG